GGAGGAAUGGCAGAGCGGUUUAAUGCACCGGUCUUGAAAACCGACGUGGUGAAAGCCACCGGGGGUUCGAAUCCCUCUUCCUCCG
rnacentral:tRNA from 1 species